AAUCAACACUCCACUCAGACAAUGCCCAGACCUCCAGAAACCAUGUGUCAAGCUCGGAUUGCCUUAGACAGAAGCUCACCCAGCUGGAACUCUUAUGGGACCUUGGCACCAGAGACCACAAAUUCCUCUUUGAAGUUUUCUAACAGCAACAAUGGUAUUUCUGACUUGGCUUUCUUGUAUUUCUCUCACGUUAACAAAAUUGGUUCAGCAUCUACCAUGGGCUACAUGCUGAGCUACAGAGUUUCGCUCUGUCGCCCAGGCUGGAGUGCAGUGGCGCGCGAUCUCGGUUCACUGCAAGCUCCACCUCCCGGGUUCACGCCAUUCUCCUGCCUCAGCCUCCUGAGUAGCUGGGACUACAGGCGCCCGCCACCACACCCAGAUACAUGAAAAGAAAGAAGGAGAGAAGGAAGAAAGGAGGGCGGAAGGAAAGGAAGAAGGGAGAGAAGAAGAGAAGAAAGAAGCAGAGAAAGGAAGAGAAAAGAAAUUACGGCCAGUGCGGUGGCUCACGCCUGUAAUCCUAGCACUUUGGGAGGCCUAAGCGGGCUGAUCACCUGAGGUCAGGAGUUCGUAAGCCAGCCUGGCCAACAUGGUGAAACCCUAUCUCUACUAAAAAUACAAAAAUCAGCAGGGCAUGGUGGUGCGUGCCUGUAAUCCCAGCUACCUGGGAGGCUGAGGUAGGAGAAUCGCUGGAACCCGAGAGGCGGAGGCUGCAGUGAGUUGAGAUCAUGUCACUGCACUCCAGGCUGGGCAACAGAGUGAGACUCUGUCUCAGAAAAAAAAAAAAAGAAAGAAAGAAAG
rnacentral:lncRNA from 1 species